rnacentral:misc_RNA from 1 species
GAUGAAGAACGUAGCGAAAUGCGAUAAGUAGUGUGAAUUGCAGAAUUCAGUGAAUCAUCGAAUCUUUGAACGCACAUUGCGCCCCUUGGUAUUCCAUGGGGCAUGCCUGUUCGAGCGUCAUUUGUACCUUCAAGCUCUGCUUGGUGUUGGGUGUUUGUCUCGCCUCUGCGUGUAGACUCGCCUUAAAACAAUUGGCAGCCGGCGUAUUGAUUUCGGAGCGCAGUACAUCUCGCGCUUUGCACUCAUAACGACGACGUCCAAAAGUACAUUUUUACACUCUUGACCUCGGAUCAGGUAGGGAUACCCGCUGAACUUAAGCAUAUCAAUAAGCGGGGGA